GUCGUCGUCGAAGCCCAAUUCGAUUUUGCUUCUCCCUGCUCGCGCGAGAGCCGAGCCCCAGCCCUUUCCCCUGCUGCCCAGAGCGAGCCUCGCCGCCCGCCAUGGCUGUCGCUCGACUACCACGCCGAGCCCCUCCCUGCGCCCUCGCCCUGACCCGCCCAGGCUCUCCCUGGUGAGCCAAACCGCUCGCACUCCCUCCCCCUCUCCACUCUCACGCCCAAGAGCCGAGCCCGAGCUCGUCUUAGGCCCAGCGCCACGGCCGCCGGCAGCUCCAUUGCCGCCGACCGCCGCCGCACGCGGAGCACCCAUCUCCGGUCCUCCUCCGCCCUAAUCGAGGCCGUGGCGAGCUCCCUCGCAUCCCCCUCGACCUCCCCAGCCCCUUCACCGACCUCCAGAGACCACCCCCUCGCCGGAAACCGAGCUACAGCACUGCCUCAACCACUGCUCCGCCGCCGGCGCCCUCCCGACCAUCCCCGGCCCCAACUCCCGCAGCAAAACGGUCGUAGGUGAUGUCCUAAUGCUUCUCCACCACUUUUCUGUAGCCGGCAGGGCCUCCCCUUGCCAAAAUCGAGCUCCUAGGGUGCCUCCUCUGUUCCCAGUUCACGUGAGGGACCACGUGCAACAAUUGAGACAAGUUCAAGGUGUUUUCUGCAUUGUCAUAGACUCAGGUACGCUAGAUGUGCGACACGUGAGACUGGAGGGCAAUGUUGAAGCCGAGCCAGAAGAUGGUGCACGGGUGGACCAAUUCAAAAGACGGAAGGACCGACUGGAGUGCAUGCUUGGACUGGGAUGAUGUCAAGCCGGUGCAAGACUGCAAGCUAACUAACUGAUUUUGUGUCAAACCCAGGCAAGCCCCGGAGCAUCACCCUUAAUUUUAGUAUUCAAUGUUUAUUUAAGUAUUUGUGCAUUUAUGUUUCUAGGAGUUGUAUGAAACCCUAGCAUAGCAUGCAUGUUUUUCCUAGGUACCUAUGAGUCUCUAUUAGUAUACAGGUACCGUUAGAAAGGCUUUGCUAAGUAGGGACGCGGUAGAAGUCGAGUGAUUUUCUGUCACUCGCGAGAUAUAAAUUUUGUUACUUGUGGAAAUGUUACUAGAGAAUGAAUCAAUGAGGAAAGAAAAUAGAGACCAGACGGAGAUGAAUUUGGUUA